AUAAAUAAAGUUUCAUAUAUGCACAUAGUUAAGAGGUACCAUUAUUUCCCAAUAAAGCUAGUACCUACAAACACUUGACGACAACACGUGCCCCUAGGGAAAACCCGAUGAGAGUGACAGGCCUAGAAAUCCCAGUAAAAAUUAAGUUCCAUUGAGAAAUGAAGUCUACUGGAUUGUACAUUCUAGGCAGAGAAUUACCUGCUUCCUUGCAAUCCCUUGAGCAGCACUUCAGCAAGCAUUUUCCCAGUCUUAUCUGCCCUGGAAACGUCUACUCGAUUAAUUUCUUGUGCGCUCAUGUAUUUUUGGAAAGGAUAAAAAAAUGAUUAAUGCAUACAUUACAGCUUAAGUUUGUUGCAUUCUUUCCUUUUUAUCAUUGCUCAUUAGUUUCAAGAUAAUAGUACUCUCUGUUAUGUUUUCAGUUUUUGUACAACUAAUGAAUUAAAAGAAGACCAGUUUUGUACUGAAAAGGGAAAAAUGCAUCAGCAUUACUGCAUGUCCUGCCAAGACAGUACACAGAUACUAAUUGAUUUCUAGCAGGAUUAAUUGAUCUCUAUGUUUGGUAAUGUGCAAUCAGAUAUAUGUGCAAUUGCAUAAAUUUUCACAUGGACUAAACUCUUAUUCUUUUUUCUGUUAAUCAGGGAACUCUAGUUUGCUCUCCACAUGCCAUGUCUGAGGUAAUACUACAUCUAAGUCCACCUCAAAAGGAAGCUAUCGAGGAUUCAGGUCUUGGCAACUUGCUAAAGAUUAAAAAAAAUACAUAUUUACCGGGACUUGUGCAAUGAGAUUGCAAGAAGCUACGACAAGGAGAAGAAAGCAUUCAAUAUUAAUGGUACGUUCGUAACGAUGACACUCGAUGAUGUCGAUUGUUUGCUUGGACUGCCAUCGAAAGGAGAUGAGAUAUUUGAGGCACCAAAAAUCAAUAAACCUGAAUUGUUCAACCUGUACAAAAAGGAAGGACAAACAACAAUUACUUUAGAAGCAUUACGGGAAGCAAUAAUCAACUCCUCGAGCUACGAUGACCACUUCAUUCGAAGAUUUAUUCUUUUCUCAAUUGGAUCCUUCAUAUGUCCUACAACUCAAUGAUAUGUGCGCUCAGAAUAUCUCAAUCUCGUCGAUGACGUUGACAAAAUGAGGGAACUAAACUAGUCUAGUCUAACCCUGAAUCAGUUACUGAAAGGCAUAUUAAAAUUUAGAGAGAAGGAAACAAACAUUGAGGGGAACGUAUGCCUCUUACAGGUUCGUUUCAAAACAAUGCACAAAUUGAGUAUGUUUACAAAAUUGACAUUAACAUAUUUUCAUAGCAAUACUCAUUAUCUUAUGUACAAAUGCUUACAGAUUUGGUAUUGGGAAAAAGUGCGAAUAGAUAAAUUGCCUGCGACAAUAUAUCAUUCUGGCCGUCAAAGGCCUUUAAUUUAGUACUGGGACAAAAUAAAAGAAAAAAAAAUGACUUUCUUACCUUUUUGGAAAAGGGAAGGUAACUAUCUCAUUUUUAAUACUAUGCACUAAUUAUAUCAAUUGUCUGUAAAAUCUCUAAUACACCUUUUUGACUAAAACAUAGGUUGUCGACGACAUUAGGGGAACUAUAGAUUGCAAUGAAAUCCCCGAUGAAAAAGCACACGACAAUGACUCAGAAACACGUAGCAAUGAAGAUUUUCUAUGCACUUCUGAAGAGGUACAUAUUAUGGGGUUUUAAUACAAACUCUAUUUAACAAAAUAUGUUUGACAUCCUUUUCUCACUUGUGCUAUUCAGGUACACUCUAUAACAUCCACUGAACAAUCAGCCGAUAUGACUUUACAAGAAAGGAUACAAUAAAGCAUCCAAACUUUACAAGAUAAUUUCAACGAUUUCACAAAGGAUUUUUGGCCACGUAUGCGAUCAUUGAUACUAGAUUGCAUGGAAAAUGUUUCAAAAUGCCUAGAACGAAAAGAUACUACGCAUGUGUUUGAGGUAAAGAUGAUAAUCUAGACUGUUAAUCAUUAUUACUUACGUAACACCGCUAAAAAAAGGUUGACGCUAUUGGAAGAUGUUGAACAAGAACAAAUUGAUCCCAGGGUGCAUGUAUCAAAUCAUAAACGAAGAGUCCUAUAUAAACCAAAAUAUAAACAUGACUUGUGAAACGAAGGUAAACUGAAUUUUAAUUCUAGCAUGCACUUUGUUACCUAACAGGACAACAGUAACCAGAGCAAUCAAAGCAGGAAGAGACUUACAGGUCCUACAGGAAGAACAUACAAACCGACUAAUCGGACUGACUUCAUCUACGAAACAAGGGGUAAAAAGAAGGACAUAAUCAGAACCCAAGCACAGACAAAGAAAACAAUAGGUACUAUGCUAUUUAAUAGUUUGCUCAUGUCAAUGGUACUAACUUUCGUCCUUUUCAAGUGCAAACGGAAAAAGAAGCUAGCUUGCCAGACACAGACGAAUUACGGGGUGAAAAGAAGAGGAAACAAAACAACCAAACACCGAAUGAAAUAUCUGAAUGUAUGAACUCUCUACAUCAUCCAUAUUUUUUUACUUAUAUUCUAUGUUUGUGUGUCACUGAUUUGACUUACCCUUUUCUAGUGUACAUCGAGAAGGAAGAUCUUACCCAAAAAAUCAUAGACAAAGGCCCACCAAAGAAAGCCUUACGAGGUCAAAAGAAGAAAAAAACAAAUGGCCAGACACCGUUAAAAAAUUCAGAAGGUAAUGCCUAACCAUUUAACAUUUCUAUAGAUCUAUUACUAAUUUGUCCUACCUUCGUAGAGUUGACUAAAAAAGAAGACCCUUUCAUUACCUACAUUAAUAACACGGAGGAUAACAAAGUGAUGGUGCAUAUUGAAGAAGUGGAGGUUAAACGGAUAAGAAUGAAAGUACUAACACAACCAGAAUUCUUGAAUGAUGAUGUAAGUUCACCUAUUUAACAAGCCUCCUAUUCUUUUAUAACUAUAUUUAUUAUGUAACUCAACUAACCUCAAAUUCAGGUCAUGGAUGCAUACAUCCAAUGCCUCCACUAUAAAGAGAAAGGAAUCAGGGGAGAUGGUAAGGCCUUCCUAGAGAUGGCCAUUAAAACAGGUCUACUAAAUGUAGAGGGAGCGCAUGUCGAAGCAAGCAAACCUCGAGAUAAAUGAUGGAUUAGAGAUAUGGCAUGCGACUAUCUAGCAUUUGACAUGGUAAUACUUAUUUAAGCUAUCUAUGUAAUGGCUAAUUCAAUUUAUGACUCUAUGUUAGUGUUGAACAUCUGCAGAUUUUCCUCCCAAUUAUAUUAAAGAUACACACUGGUACCUAGCCGUUCUUAACGCCAAGCGACAUAAGGUGCAAAUACUAGAUUCGCUCGCAAAGCCAAUCAGGAAAGAUCGACCCGAUCUAAGGCGUGUGGUAAGCGAUACACUUCCACUUGUAUAAUUCAAAUCGGUUUUGCUAUGUUUUAACUGUACCAACGUUGCACAAAACUUCCUGGCUGCUAGCUAUCGAAAGGGGAUUACACGGGACAGAGAAUCAACACCCACAGUUAAAACAUGAUUGGCCUGAUUUCAAUAUUACCGAAUGGGAAUACAACAAAGUCCAAAAAUUGCCAAAGCAAGGAGACGGGUGGGUGACUCAAACUCUUCCACAUGAUAUUCACAUUAUUCAAUUACGGAAACGUGUUAGCCUAACGUAGGGUUGAAAACGGUAGCGGUAAUUACCGGCCGACCGGGCUACCGCAACCGAAUUUGACCGACCGAACGCUACGGAAACGGUAAAUGUUGGAAUCGGAAACGGAAACGGUAAAAAAUAUGGAAAUGAUAUCGGAAAUGGUUUGGUAAUUUACCGACCGUUUUGUGCGGUUACCGUAUUAUACCGGUAAUUACCGUAUAUAUACUCCGGUAAAUUACCGUUUUACAAACAUCCCAGGCUAGAGCCCAAGUUAUUUUUCUUUGGCCCAUUUUCUCAGCCCAACAAUAACCCUAAAUUGAUAAAAUCCAUAACCCUAGAGCUCCUCGACUGCUCGGCUGCUCCGACUCCAACCAGCGCUGUCGUACUCGUACCGUCGUACGCAUCGGCGACACGGAGCCACCAACGCAGCGGCGCGGCGGCGCGGCGUCGCCAAGGUGGCAGCGCGGCGGCGCCAACGCAGAGGCGCGGCGGCUCCAACACAGCGUCAGCUCCCAUCCGUUCCCAACCCUCCUGUCCCCCAGAGACGAUGGAGCCAGCUGGCGAAGCUUCGUCACGACGUCGCGUCCUGUUGGGGCCGCCCCCACCACCUCACGGCAGCAAUGCCUCUAGCACGCCAUCGGGGAGCUUGCUGGCCGGCUCAGCCUCUGCUAGUCCAGGUGAAAAACUCCUUCUCUGUAGCCUAUUGAUACAUGUAUUGAGAUGAAAACAGAUGCAUGGGUGUUUGAUUUAGCAUUUGAGAUUUAAUUUAAACAAAACGGUUUGAUUUGGUAGGCGCAAGUCAGGCUUUAAUGCGUUUAUCUACAUCAUCUACAUCUGGAACACCUGUAUCUGUUGAAGUUGCACAUGCAACUAAUGGCACCGAUGGAAGUGGCACGCAGACAGAAGGUGCAAAUGUUGUAGCUGGUGAUGAUACAGUUGUUGAAGAAAAUGAUAACCAUGAUGAGUUGCAUUCGGCAAAGAAGCACAAGAAGUGCACAUCUGAUGUCUGGGAGUAUUUCACUAAGUACACAAAGACAGUAGAGAUUAAUGGCAAAUUGGUUGAAGAGAAGUGGGCAAAGUGCAACUUUAAAGGGUGUAGAGCUCCUUCUGGCAAUAAUAGAUGUGAGAGCAACAGGGGAACAACUGGAUUUUGGAAUCAUUUGAGCAAAUAUCAUAGUGUGGAUAAAAUACAAUUGCAAUUGAAAACAGGAAAGGAUGCUGCUAAGGACAUCACUUUUGUUGAACCAUUCAGGUAUGAUCAGGAAGUUAGCUUAAGAAAGUUUUAUCUGGCAAUAAUCAUGCAUGAGUACCCUUUCAAUAUAGCUGAGCAUGAAUAUUUUGUUGACUUCAUUAAAUCCCUACUCCCUAACUUUCCAAUUAAGUCCCGGGUCACUGUUAGAAAAGAAAUCUUAGGCAUAUAUCUGGAAGAAAAGAACAAAUUGUAUGAAUGUCUGAAAUUUGUUAAAUCCCGCAUUUGUGCAACUAUGGAUAUGUGGACAUCAAACCAGAAUAAAGGAUAUAUGUGUGUCACUUUGCACUGGAUUGAUGAUAAUUGGCGUAUUCAGAAAAGGAUUACAAAUUUCAUCCAUGUAGAAGGACGACACACUGGUGUUAAGUUGUUAGAGACCUUUACUACAUGUCUAUUGAAUUGGUUUGUUUAGAAGAAAAUGUUUUCUUUGUCUUUGGAUAAUGCAUCUGCAAAUGAAGUGGCCGUUAAGGAUGUAAUUUGUGAACUCAAGAAGCAUGGUCCUUUACUAUGUGAUGGUUUGUUUUUUCAUGUUAGAUGUGCCAACCACAUUAUGAAUUUGAUUGCUAAAGAUGGUUUGCAAGAAAUAGCAACAACAAUUCAGAACAUUAGAUUGUUUGUGAUAUCUGUAAAGAACUCAACGGUGCAGUGGGAGGAGUUCUUGAAGUGUGCUUCUGAGUGUGAAUUGGACACAACCAGAGGACUCUCAACCGAUUGUUGUACAAGAUGGAAUGCAACUUAUAUGAUGUUGAGGGAUGCUUUGUAUUAUAAGAAAGCUUUUCAGAGGCUUACGAGUAAGGAAUGUUGCAAGUAUGAGAGCAUAUGCCCUCUCCCUGAACAAUGGGAAAAAGCAAGUAAAGUAUGUAUGUGCCUGAAAAAAUUCAGUGAUCUUACCAAUCUAUUCUCUGGUAUUUUAUAUCCUACAGCAAACUUAUUUUACAGAGGAUUUUGUGAAAUUAAGCUGUUGCUUACGUCUUGGAGUAGAGGCAAUGAUACCAUGGUUAAGAACAUGGCAGCAUCUAUGAAUACUAAGUUUGACAAAUAUUGGAAGAAGUCAAACACUGCUCUUGCUGUUGCAAGCUUUCUUGAUCCUAGAUUCAAGACAAUAAUUGUUCAUUUCUACAUGAAAAAGUUUUAUGGUGAUUUGCUUCAGGUUAAGUUUUUAUGCUGCUGCUGAUUCUCUCUACCAUAAUGACCAUGUAUGAUUUUUAUGUUGCUGCUGCACCCCCUCCAAAUAGUAAUGCACCUCAAUCUAGCAAUGAACCAGCUGUAGAAGAAGAUGCAAAUGAUUUUGAUAGUGAACUUGACAAGUACCUGUAUAAGAAGCAAACAAACCAAUCUCAGAUUGUUGGGAAUGAUCUGGAGAAAUACUUGGCAGAAGAACCUUUACUACUUGACAAAGCCAGUGAGAAUACAUUUGAUAUUUUAUUAUGGUGGAAGGACAAUGCAGAUGUUUAUCCUGUUCUCUCUUUGCUUGCUCGUGAUGUUCUUGCAAUGCAAGUGUUAACUGUUGCUUCUGAAUCUGCCUUUAGUGCUGGUGGCCGUGUCAUUGAUCCAUAUCGUAGCCGCCUUGAUCUUGAGAUUGUUGAAGCAUUGAUAUGUACCAAAGACUGGAUAGCUGCUGCAAGAAAAGGUGAAAAAAAUUAAAUCCUUCAUUUUCUUUGCAUGUAGGUGUAACAGAUCAGAACUACCUUGUUGAUUUAUCUCUAUUUGAACUUUGCAGAACGUAAUAAUGUUGCGUCAAUUGUGACUGAUCUUGAUGUCACAGAGUUACUUGCUGAAACAUUAAUGGUUGAGGUGAGUACAGAUCAGUUUGUUUCUUUGCUAGCAAUCUGAAUUUAAGAAUUAAUGCUAGUUAUUUACGUUAUGAAUUAUGUUCAUUGGGCUGAAAUUACAUUGCAACAUUAUAGAUGGAAGAAUAUAUGGACUCUGAUGAUUGAUUGAGGACUUGGGGAAUAAUUCAAGAAUAUGCCCAUGCUUUGAGUCUAUGGGACUAUGGCAAAUUUAUGUAAUGUACUAAUGUGAGACCCGGUGAUUCUUAUCCUGUCCAACAAUGUUAUUGUGGUUCUGUGGUUAUGGUUCUAGUGGACUUGCUAUGUUGUAUGUAUUUCUGUUGAAUGGAGUGAGUAUGAACUUUUGUUCUGCUCAAGCAAUCAUUCUAUUGCUAGCUAACUGUUAUUGUUCGAUGUUUCCGACAGUAAUUAUCGACUUCCGAUCGAUACCGACAUGUUUCCGAUUGAAUAAUUCCAUUUUUGAUUUACCGAUAUUUCCGUUAUCGUUUUCGUUACCGGCUUAUCAUUAUCGAUUCCAUUUCCGAAAAAUAAUAUGGUUGCGGUAAUGGUUUAGGGUGUUUCCCGAUCGUUUCCGACCGUUUUCACUCCUAGCCUAACGACUAAAUUCUUGUAGCGUCUCAUGUGGCCUGUACACCCUUAAGUUCAUGGAGCUUUGGAGCGGAUCUUAUCUCCCAGAAAUUCAAAUACAGGCAACUACAACGACCUCUAUUCAUAUUUUGCACCAAUGCUUCCCAUUUCGAAAAACAAUUUAAAAUGCACUCCCUUUACAUUAUGCAUAAGGAUGUGAAAACAUUUCGACAGGCCUUAGCCGGAAUUUUGAUCAACUCCGAACUGAACAAGAUUAAAGAUCGUCCACUGCUACCAACCACGACAUAAAUGGAUUAUAUGUCGAACAUUUACCACAAUUACCUAACUAUGCUCUCUUCCCCUUAUUAAAUCAUUUAGAUACUACUUGGGUAUUUGACGGAUCCCAAACAUUGAUGCCUUUUUGAGAUAAUAUUCAUAGUUCAUAUUUGAAUCCAUUUGAGAAGGAGCGGUAUAUGAAACCUUACACUUCGGGGUGACUCAGGGCAGUAAGUUGUCGACGUCACCGACGUGCAUCUGCUUCA
rnacentral:lncRNA from 1 species